AAAGGGUGCGUAGGCGGCCUGUUAAGUCAGGGGUGAAAGACGGUAGCUCAACUAUCGCAGUGCCCUUGAUACUGAUGGGCUUGAAUUGACUAGAGGUAGGCGGAAUGUGACAAGUAGCGGUGAAAUGCAUAGAUAUGUCACAGAACACCGAUUGCGAAGGCAGCUUACUAUGGUCUUAUUGACGCUGAGGCACGAAAGCGUGGGGAUCAAACAGGAUUAGAUACCCCGGU
rnacentral:rRNA from 1 species